GAUGAACGCUGGCGGCGUGCCUAAUACAUGCAAGUCGAGCGAACGGACGAUAAGCUUGCUUCGCUGAUGUUAGCGGCGGACGGGUGAGUAACACGUGGAUAACCUACCUAUAAUACUGGGAUAACUUCGGGAAACCGGAGCUAAUACCGGAUAAUAUUUUGAACCGCAUGGUUCAAAAGUGAAAGACGGUCUUGCGGUCACGUAUAGAUGGAUCCGCGCUUCAUUAGCUAGUUGGUAAGGUAACGGCUUACCAAGGCAACGAUGCAUAGACGAGCUGAGAGGGUGAUCGGCCACACUGGAACUGAGACACGGUCCAGACUCCUACGGGAGGCCGCAGUCGGGAAUCUUACGCAAUGGGCGAGAGCCUGACGCAGCAACCCCGCGUGUGUGAUGACGGUCUUCGGAUCGUAAAAAUCUGUUAUUAGGGAAGAACAUAUGUGUAAGUAAAUGUGCACAUCUUGACGGUAACUAAUCAGAAAGCCCCGGCUAACUACGUG
rnacentral:rRNA from 1 species